AACGAACGCUGGCGGCAUGCCUAACACAUGCAAGUCGAACGGGAUCCAGGCUUCGGCCUGGUGAGAGUGGCGGACGGGUGAGUAACACGUGGGAACCUGCCUUUUGGUUCGGGAUAACCGCGGAAAACUGCGGCUAAUACCGGAUGCUCCCGAGAGGGGAAAGAUUUAUCGCCAGAAGAGGGGCCCGCGUCCGAUUAGGUAGUUGGUGAGGUAAUGGCUCACCAAGCCGACGAUCGGUAGCUGGUCUGAGAGGAUGAUCAGCCACACUGGGACUGAGAUACGGCCCAGACUCCUACGGGAGGCAGCAGUGGGGAAUAUUGGACAAUGGGGGCAACCCUGAUCCAGCAAUGCCGCGUGAGUGAUGAAGGCCUUAGGGUUGUAAAGCUCCUUUGCCAGGGAAGAUGAUGACUGUACCUGGAGAAUAAGCCCCGGCUAACUUCGUGCCAGCAGCCGCGGUAAU
rnacentral:rRNA from 1 species